rnacentral:rRNA from 1 species
GACGAACGCUGGCGGCGUGCUUAACACAUGCAAGUCGAACGGAAAGGCCCUGCUUUUGUGGGUGCUCGAGUGGCGAACGGGUGAGUAACACGUGAGUAACCUGCCCUUGACUUUGGGAUAACUUCAGGAAACUGGGGCUAAUACCGGAUAGGAGCUCCUGCUGCGUGGUGGGGGUUGGAAAGUUUCGGCGGUUGGGGAUGGACUCGCGGCUUAUCAGCUUGUUGGUGGGGUAGUGGCUUACCAAGGCUUUGACGGGUAGCCGGCCUGAGAGGGUGACCGGCCACAUUGGGACUGAGAUACGGCCCAGACUCCUACGGGAGGCAGCAGUGGGGAAUAUUGCACAAUGGGCGGAAGCCUGAUGCAGCAACGCCGCGUGCGGGAUGACGGCCUUCGGGUUGUAAACCGCUUUCGCCUGUGACGAAGCGUGAGUGACGGUAAUGGGUAAAGAAGCACCGGCUAACUACGUG